rnacentral:rRNA from 1 species
GUGUGGUUGUUGCUGGCCYUCUCGGGGGCAUGUGCACACCCACCAUCCUCAUCUCUCCACCUGUGCACCUCUUGUAGACCUGGAUUGACUUUCCGAGGCAACUCGGUCGGGAAGAUUGCUGCGCUCUGUGAGCCAGCUUUCUUUGCAUGUCCAGGCCUAUGUUUUUCAUAUACCCCUAUAGAAUGUAACAGAAUGUAUCAUUGGGCCUUGUGCCUAUAAACCUUAUACAACUUUCAGCAACGGAUCUCUUGGCUCUCGCAUCGAUGAAGAACGCAGCGAAAUGCGAUAAGUAAUGUGAAUUGCAGAAUUCAGUGAAUCAUCGAAUCUUUGAACGCACCUUGCGCUCCUUGGUAUUCCGAGGAGCAUGCCUGUUUGAGUGUCAUUAAAUUCUCAACCUUAUUAACUUUUGUUGAUAAUGGAUUGGAUUGUGGGGGUUUCUUUUGCUGGCUUCUUCACAGAGAUCAGCUCCCCUUAAAUGCAUUAGCUGGUGCCCCGCGUGGACCAUCUAUUGGUGUGAUAAUUAUCUACGCCGUGGAUGUCUGCAAUCAUAUGGGUUUCGCACUGCUUCUAACCGUCUGUUCAUUCGGACAAUACAUGACAAUUUGACCUCAAAUCAGGUAGGACUACCCGCUGAACUUAAGCAUAUCAAUAAGCGGAGGAAAAGAAACUAACAAGGAUUCCCCUAGUAACUGCGAGUGAAGCGGGAAAAGCUCAAAUUUAAAAUCUGGCGGUCUCCGGCCGUCCGAGUUGUAAUCUAGAGAAGUGUUAUCCGCGCUGGACCGUGUA